rnacentral:ncRNA from 1 species
AAUAAAUCAUAAAGCAAUGAAGGUGAUAAUGGUAAAUACAUAUUGGUGGUGGCACUCUUUACAACUCCGACAGUCGUAAGGGAGCAGCUCCUCAUGUAUAUAUACUAACCAAAAAUAUUAAAAAGAGGCCUGUC